GUGGUUUAAUUCGAUGCAACGCGAAGAACCUUACCAGGCCUUGACAUGCAGAGAACUUUCCAGAGAUGGAUUGGUGCCGUUCGGGAACUCUGACACAGGUGCUGCAUGGCUGUCGUCAGCUCGUGUCGUGAGAUGUUGGGUUAAGUCCCGCAACGAGCGCAACCCUUGUGUUUAGUUGCAAACAGGUCAAGCUGUGCACUCUAGACAGACUGCCGUGGACAACACGGAGGAAGGUGGGGAUGACGUCAAAUCAUCAUGCCCCUUAUGAUCUGGGCUACACACGUGCUACAAUGGCCGGUACAACGGGCAGCGAAGGAGCGAUCCGGAGCGAAUCCUAAAAAGCCGGUCCCAGUUCGGAUUGCAGGCUGAAACUCGCCUACAUGAAGUUGGAGUUGCUAGUAAUCGCGAAUCAGAAUGUCGCGGUGAAUGCGUUCCCGGGUCUU
rnacentral:rRNA from 1 species